UAUUAAGAUAAAUUAAUUCUAGUAAUCGCUAGAGAGAGAAAGAUUGAAGUACAGGCUAAGGUUAAUAAAGAAAAUUUAGAAAUUUAAUUUUUAACUAUAUAUUUUCUGUUUCUGUCAGGAUUUACAUUUCCCACAAUGCCUAUUUAGUAUAAAUUCCAAAUGGUGGACUGAAUUUAACUGAAGACCAGGAAAAUAGCAGGAAAAGCACAAAUAACUUUUUGCUUUAUUUCCAGAAUCUACAGUUUGCUCUGUAAAAUGAAGUCACAGCUUAUUGAAGAGAUGUGUUGGAAAGAAAACAUAGAACAACACAAAAAAGACUUUCUGUUAAGCUCACUUUGACAGAACUUCUUUCCUCAAAACUUCUAAGGAAACUACGCCAUUUGCUCAAAAUUUAUGAUUUUUGGACCUUUAUUCAGCCCCUCUUGGUCACCUUCUUAUUUUGUGAAGAACAUAAAUCGUCUUAUUGCCAAACAGUUAGUUUGCAUAAAAGUGCUCCUGAAUUUUUUCAGAGGGAUAUGUCCUAAAUUCAUUUGA
rnacentral:lncRNA from 1 species